AAGUGAUAUGUAAUAUUGGAGAUUUGCUCAUCAGAAGGUAUAAGAGCACGUCAUCACUUAGUUGAUUGGAAAAGCCUACUUGCAAGUUUGAGUUACCGGUGUCUCGUAAAUGGCAGAGAAUGACAGGUCCGGCCUUCUUUUAGCCAGUUGACAUACCUGAAAGUUCUAAAUGUCAAAGAGCUGUACUCUGUCAAUGCCCAUCCACUGUUAUGAUGAAAAUAGAAGAUAUAGUUCUUAUUACCUGAAUAUGUUCUCAUCAAAAUCAAGUUGUUUUGCCUGGGACAUAUAUGAGGAUGCAGUCUGACUUCUGCAUGAAGUUUUCCUGCAUCAGCAUCACAUACAGGCAUUCAGAGCCUUGAGCAUGAAGGGAGCCUCACGUUAAACCAGUGCAGUUAAAUGAAGGUAAAUGAGCAUGUAUUUUCAGAAAUUACAGCCUCUUUACAGACUGCAAAUAUUACAUUGCCGUUAAUUUGAUGCAUUCACAGUUGACACCAUGCCAUCAUCUUUGAGAUUACGUGAGAUAGAAGGAUGUAACCUUUUAUGCACAUCGAGAAGCCAUGUGACAGGCGCUACCUGUGCACGGAGUUUCUCAAU
rnacentral:lncRNA from 1 species